rnacentral:rRNA from 1 species
UACGUAGGUGGCAAGCGUUGUCCGGAUUUACUGGGCGUAAAGGGCGUGCAGGCGGUUUGUUAAGUGCAGGGUGAAAGCUCCCGGCUCAACUGGGAGAGGUCCUUGCAUACUGGCAGACUUGAGGGAGGCAGAGGAAAGUGGAAUUCCCGGUGUAGUGGUGAUAUGCGUAGAUAUCGGGAGGAACACCUGUGGCGAAGGCGGCUUCUGGGCCUUACCUGCG